rnacentral:misc_RNA from 1 species
GAAACGCGAUAGUUAAUGUGAAUUGCAGAAUUCAGUGAAUCAUCGAGUCUUUGAACGCACAUUGCGCCCAUAGGUAUUCCUUUGGGCAUGUCUGUUUGAGCGUCAUUACAACCCUCAGCUAACCGCUGGUUUUGAACCUGAACGGGUGACACCGCGCCGGUUUUAAAGUUGUAAGCUCUGCUGGCCGCUCUGCCCAACCAGAACAUAGUAAGCACUACUUGUCCGGGUGAAGCUGAACGGUACGGCCUGAACAAAACCUACCCACUCUCAAGGUUUGACCCCAGAUCAGACAAAGAUACCCGCUGAACUUAGGC